ACCAAAGCAGCACAGCUUGGAUAGCCUCUUCCUGCCUCACCCCAUACCAGUUGAAUCCAAUCCUCCAAGUGACAACUGUCAGGUUGAACUUGCUCUCUCAGCUGUCACAGUAGGAACUCUUCCAAAUGCUGUACAUAGAGUUCAGUCAAUUAAUAAAGCUUUGUUAUGAGAACCGAAGACUACGUGGGUCGGACAACUUGAGAGAAGGCUUGGAUCAUCCUCUGAGCUUCAUCUUUGCCAAAGCUCUGUACGAAAGGGACAGAUCUUGUGACUUCAGCCUUGAUCAGGCUACCCAAGGAUCACGUCACUUCUGGAAAGGGGACUUUUCUUCUGCACAGUAAUUUGUAACAUUAAGCGACUUCUGAAAUGAGAGAGAAUAUCUUUGGUGUCUGGUUGUCACAAGCAAGUCAGCACAAGUAAUAUGUCAGAGUUUGAUCUUGUUCAGCUGUCCUGAAGCAAGCUUACACCUCAGUUCUCAAAUGUUCGUGUACUUGUAAAAAAAUGAUGAUAGCUAUUGCUUGUAGCAUAAUUUCUUGCUAGGUUACAUUAAUUAACUAUUUACUCUGGUCCAAUAUGAUAGUGAAUCUUUUUUCUAUAUUCUAAACCAAGAGGAAGACAUUUGUUUUGGUCUUGUCCAAAGAGAGAAAACUAUAGUUUAUAAAUAAGAGGAUUCUUGAAGCAACUGAAAUUCGGGUCCAUUGCUACCUCUGGUUCAUUUGACAUGUCUGAGUACAUCUUUUAAUCAAUAUUUGCACAAUUGAAUUGACUUUAGUGAGGCAGGAAUCACCAACAACUUUUAUGUAAUCAUAUCACAGCCACUUCCCUUAGACAUCAAGCAACCUACCAGGUUUCAGUUAAUUUAGAUCAGGCCUAUCAAACUGGUGGCCCACGGGAUGAAUGCAUCAUGCGUAGGCCAUGCCCACACCGGCUGCACAAAGGCAAAAAAAUGUCACAUGACAUGAUCUUUCUUUUAUAGAAAAACUGCUGUAUACGAAGCUGGCCAGUGAUCUAGCUUAGCCUGGUGCAAUUGACACAAAUUGGUAGCACCUCAUCAGAUCUUCCAGCUGAUUUUUUUCCCUCCCUUAUCUCUAGAUGAAGAUCCAGCCUUAGACCUUCUGCAUACAAACCAUGUACUCCAGUUGAGCAAAAUCUCUCUUUACUAUAUUGCAUUAUGUCAUAUUAAACCACUCGUUUAAUGGCUGGGGAAUUCUGGGAGUUGAAGUCCACACAUCUUCAAGUUCCCAAGGUUGAGAAACACUGUAUUAAAGUAUAUGCAAUCUCUGAGAUCCUUCAGAAUUUUUUAUUUAAAGAGUAAUAACUUUCAGAGGCUUAGUGUAUGUUUUGUAGUUUAAGACCUCAACUUAUAUAGCAUCUUAGUCUUACAGACAACUUAGUAAAAUAACAAGCCCGUAAUAAUGUGUUAUGCUAUAAUCAGAAUAUAUAGAACAUUCACAAAUCUUAUUUCCUUAGACUGUAAAGGAUAUAAAAACCCAUGUUUUGUUUCUUUGUUGCUGAACUGACUUUCUUUUCUGAUGUUAAAAAAAACCAAAUGCAGGUUGAAAACAAAAUUGAAAGUUAAUUUGGAUAAGGAAGAAGAUGGGAUAGGGCAGGGGUGUCAAACACAAUUUCAUUGAGGCCCGCAUCAGGGUUGUGUUUGACCUCAGGAGGCCGGGGGGAUGUGGCCAGGGUGGGUGUAGCUAGCUUGACGUCACUCCUGUCAGGGGCGCCUGCGGUGGCCCGAGCACUCUGCCAGAUAAAACAGGCUCUCAAGCUCUAUUUUCACUGGCAGAGGGUUUCAGGAGGCCAUGGCAGAUGAAAAUGGAGCUCAGGAAUCUGUUUUCGCUGGCAGAAGCACCGUGGGCCAGUCCUUUGCUGUUUCCAGGGCGGCCCCUUGGGCCAGAUCUAAGUACCUCAUGGGCCGCAUCCGGCCCCCGGGCCUUGAAUUUGACACCUCUGGAAUAGGGAAUCCAUUGAACAUGAUGAGGGAUUAUUAGUAAGAAGACUGAGGAUAAUUGAGCAGUUUUAGAUGAAAGGUCUGGAUGCUGUUAGCCAGUUGUAUGUUUUCCUACUCUUUCUUCCACAUUUUUUCUUUGCCCCAUAAAAGUAUGUCAAAUGGGAAAAGGUGGAAGAGCUGCAGAAUGAUUUUUGAAGCUUACAGACUGGAAUAUAGAUUCAUCAACAGAGUGAGAUGAAACCGCUCCUGCUAUACAGGUAGUCCUCGAUUUAAAACCAUUCGUUUAGUGACCGUUCAAAGUUGCAACAGUGCUGAAAAAGUGACUUUAUGAUCAUUUCUCACACUAAUGUUGCAGCAUCCCUGUCACGUAAUUAAAAUGUAUAUGUUUAUGACAGUUGCAAUGUCCCAGGCUCAUGUGAUCAGGGCCAGAGUGGUGCAGUGGUUAGAGUGCAGUAUUUCAGGCUAACUCUGCCCAGUGCCUGGAGUUCGAUCCUGACAGGCUUGAGGUGGGCUUGUGGUUGACUCAGCCUUCCAUCCUUCUGAGUUGGUAAAAUGAGGAUCCAGAUUGUGGGAUCAAUAUGCUGAUUUUGUAAACUGCUGUAAAGGACAAUGAAGCAGUAUAUAAGUCUAAGUGCUAUUGCUACUGCUAUCACCUUUUGCAUGGUGAUAUGGUGAAUGGGGAAACCAGAUUCACUUAAUAACCAUGUAAAAUGGGGUAUAAAUCACUUUAACAACUAUCUUGCUUAGCAACGGGUCUGGUGGCUCAGCAGACUAAUAGCAUUGUGAUUAACACCAGCUGUCUGCAAUUACUGUUAGUUCGAAUCUCACCAGGCUCAAGGUUGACUCAGCCUUCCAUCCUUUCUAAGGUAGGUAAAUUAAAGACCAAGUUUGUGGGGGCAAUAAGCUGACUCUGUAUAAAUAUACAAAAGUAUGAAGGCUAUUGCUUAACGCAUUGUAAGCCGCCCGGAGAAGGGCGGCAUAUAAAUCAAAUUUAAAAAAAAACAAAAAACAGAAAUGUUGGGCUCAAUUGUUGUAAGUCGAGGACUACUUGUAUCCCCAUGAUAAUACUAGCCCAAGACUUGUGCAGUAAUGCUAACUUUAAAUUAAUUACUUUACACCUACCCAUCCACCCCCUCUCUCUCUGAAUUGCUUCCUGGUCUGAUUUAGUCCUUCCAGUUUUCUUGGCAUGAUUUCUGGCUGGAGAAUUCUGGGAGUUGAACUCCACAUAUUCUAAAGUUAGCAAGUUUGAAUGACACUGAUCUAGCAGGUACCAAGCAGGAGCUGCUAAGAGUCAUUUGACCAUAAGCAUUCCAUGUAGGAGAACAACCAUCACUAUGAACUAUGGCUUACAAAUUCUGCAAGAGGAAGGUAGAGGAGAUAUGAGCAUUCAUUUUUUUGGCCAUCAAGCAAGAUGAAGAAAGAUGUGGUCUGUUUUCCAACCACACAGGAGCAAAGGGUUAGGGUUGCUUGUUGUGCCUUUGGAGCCUUUCUGUAGAAGGAAGAGUCAAGUGAAGGUAAUAUAUAGAAGAAAGGGGGGAAGAUGAAUGAGAACCAGAGAGAAUCAGUAUUGAAAAUAAAACAUCUAAAUCCCAAAAAUCCUGAAAAGUUCUUCUAUUUUUAAUUUAAUGUGAAAGGUGAUUUUUAGGUAGGUUCACAACAGUAACAGAGCAACCUUAAUCAAGAACCCAGGCACUGGAUUUCCCCCCUUAUUUUAGAACCCUAUGUGUUUUAGGAGCAAUAUUUUGCAAAAGGCUAGGAAAGGGAGUUUUAAGCGAAACCCAUCAACACACAAGAGUCUCACAAUGUAAACCCCACAGCCAGACAAACACCACCAUCCUCAUAUUUCAUACAUCAUAUUAUCUUAUAGUGGCAGCCAGGCAUGAAAGGAUGUCGGGAACAGGAUUUGUCUGCAUGCCCGCAGCACAAAGCCAAAGUAGAUUAUUUUGAAGAGCAGGUGAAUGUGAUAUCUAUAUAGAACUGUUAUCUUUUGCAGGUUGUAAACUGAUAGACUCCUUUCUUACAAUCUUUGAGACCAAUCUGCACCAUACAUUUGCCAAAAGAAGAUCCACUUGAUGCAUCUCAGUUGGACACUGAUCCACAAAAGCAUAUAAUACCAUAAUCUGUCUGUUAAUUUCAUAUGUCAUACACAGUUCUUGUUUGUGCUUUCUUUUUAAAUUUUAUAUUAACACUUGGUUUGUGGUGCAAAACACUUUUGAAUGAUUAAGACUCAAACAGAGCUUUUAAGUUAGUUUUUGGAUAAAGUCUGUAUUUGGUGGCGUGAAUGUAAGAGAUCACCAUUUUGUAGUAUUUACUGUAUAUGUUGGCUUGGAGGGCUUUUAAUGAUAAUUUCUAAUGAAAAAAUGGUUCUUCUAAAAUACCCCAUGGUUGAGUAAUUGUUGGUUGUUUUACAGUACUGGGAUAUACUUGAACAAGCUCAGUGUCUGGAAGGAUGUCAUUCUAUCUGUGAUAUGUAAAGAGAAAUUACUACAGUACUGACAUCAUGCAAUGUUUAUUUCUUAUGUUUCUACAAUUUACUAUUUUUCCUUAAUAAUAUGAGAUAAAAAAAAAUGCACCAGGUAUGUAACUAGGUGUAAUAUAUGAAAACUGAAAUGAAUAUUGUAAUUUAAUAAUAAAGACUUUAUAUAGGUAAA